AUAAAUUAGAGUCAAAUAUGAUUACAAAUAGUACAUAAAUCAAUGUAACAAUCUAUUUUUUGUACAUGAAUAAAAGUAAAAAGUUUUUUAAGCAAUAAAAAUACACUUUAGGCAACUUUUAACCCGUUUGACUUUUUUGACCCGUUUCAGUUUUAGUUAAAUUUCAAAACGUAACAUAUAUUGACCGGUUUCUACCACUAGUAGCAUCAAAAACUAUAUAAACAAACCAAAAACUAUAUAAACAAAACAAAAAAAAAAAAUCAAAACAAACACCAUACCUCUAAAGUCGGUCCAAUCUUGAAACCCCCCAUGAUUUCCUCUUUAGACACCAAUGUCAAAAGCGGAAUAAGUGCAAACGGGAUCUGAAUACUCUGAAGAACAUUAAGCCAUUCAUUCAACACAUCUAACGAAGCUUCCGACUUAUUAAACACAAGCGCGACAAUCAUAGUCGGCACGAUCGCGCAACUUCUAGUAAUCAAAGCCCUCAACCACUUUUUCAACCGAAGGUUAAGAAACCCGCCCAUUAUAAACUGACCCGCGUAAGUACCUGUUAUGGUGCUACUUUGACCCGCUGCUAAUAACCCGAUUCCCCAAAUGUAUAAAACCGGCAUAAACCCUCCACCGUAUUUCUUUUCGAGAUAUUGACCCGCGUUCACGAGGCCUAUGGUGUCGGCUUGUUUUGUGUUGUAAAAUCCCUUUGCGAAAACGGUUGUUACGCAUAAGUUGAUCAUGAAGGAGAUGAAAAGGGCGAUUGAGGACUCAAUUGUGUAGUAGUUGAUUGCUUCUUGAACGCGUCCUUUUUUGUUUGGGUCAAUUUUUCGGGAUUGUACUAAAGCGGAAUGUAGAAAUACGUUGUGAGGCAUUAUUACACACCCUACUACUCCGACUGCUUGCCUAAUUGUUCUUGAACUCAGCUUCGGAACCAAAAGACCUGUAAUUAAUUAUAAGUAAAUCAAGAAGAACGGGUGGGUUCGAUUAUGUCACGGGUCAAAUGGGUUCGGGUAAAAACGGGUUACGUUUUAUGGAAAUUUGGCCACACAACAUUAUUAGUAAGUACACGUACAUGCAAUUUGUGUGACGAAUAUUAACAACUUUUUGACGAAUACACAUUUUUGGCUAUUUUGCACACUUGUUCUUGAUUUGACCCGUUACAGGUAACAUAACCUAAAUCGACCCGUUCAUGGCGAAAUGGGUUGAAGUUGAAAAUUAUCGGUACAAACAUCAAAGAAUUCUAACCUAUUAGAAGUUCCUUGCCACUAGGUUGUGCAUCAGCAAACAUCCAUGCAAAUGAUAGUCCCAUAGUUGAGAUGAGAACCGCAAAAACGGCUUCCAAAUUCCUCACUCCGUAGUUCUCAAGAAGUAAGAACAUGAAACUGUUCACGAAGGUUAUACAAAAUUAAAAUAUGUUUAAAAAAAAGAAUAAAAAAGGUGAAUUACGUAAAACAGGUCUUAUCGUGAUUAACAUAACGCGAAAAAAUAUACAUUAGCUUGAUCAUUUUGAAAUCUCCGGCGGGACGGGGAAUACCCUUCCGGUGAGCGAAGGUGUACCAGUCUCCGGCCGUGAUAAACUCAUAAAAAUACCAGAAUACGUUCAAAUCCGGAUUAUAACCUAAAGCCCUACAGGAGAUUUCAAAAUGAUUAACCCGGCUGAGUCCGAACGGGUUAACCUGACAUUCAGGUGCACCCGAAAGAACCGAAGGACUUUCAUCAAAAAUCUCGUAAAGGGGACGCGAUAGUUUGCGAAAUUACAGACACGCGUAUAGAAGGGAAAUUUGCUGGAAAGAAAGGGGUAGAUAGGUUUAUCACGAGCCGGAAGCUCCGGAUUAAGGUCAGGAAUUGUCAGCCAUAACAUUAGUUCAAUCCAAUAAUCAUUAAUUUUCAACAAAAUUAAAAAAAGAAACAAACUAACCAAUCAGAAGCAGUGAUCACAACCCCAACCCAGAUCGGAAGAACACCAUUACUAAGAAUCUGAAUAGCAAUCGCACUCCCAAUCACCUCCUGAAUAUCCGCACCAAUCAACGCCACCUCAGCCAUAACCCACAACACCAAUCCGGUCCACUUAUCAUACUCCUCUCUACAAAGCUCCGCCAAAUGCUUCCCCGUAGCCACCCCCACCCGAGCCGACAACAAUUGGAUCAACAACCCCAUUACCGUCGCCCACAUCAGCAACCAUAACAACGAGUACCCUGCAAUUGUUAGCGGUGUUCAUUACUUGAAUCGCGCUCGAAUAACUCGAAAUUUGAUUCAAUGCCAAUAAAUAAGACAAAUUCAAAUUUCUGUUACUCUACCCCAAAAAAAAAAAAAUAAAAAAAAAAAAAAAAAAAUCUUUACUCAUUGCCUCAUUCAGUCAUUCAAACUGCUAUCACACGACAAUCACGACAUACAUACGUUAACCUUGAUCCAGACAUUUAUAGUGAUUUGUGAUUAGUGAUUUAGGUAACUUUUUUUGUAACUUUUGUAAAAUUUCUGUAUUUUUUUCGUAAGUCGAAUAAACCUGAUUUCAACUCAAAUUCGAAUACCCGAUUUGAAUAACCUGAAAUUCGACUUAUUCGACUCGAUGAACACCCAACCUGCAAUCACUCUCUAGUUCCUUUUCCUAAUUCUAAUAAGUUAAAUACACCCGAAUUCGACUCUAAUUCAAAUAAGCUUAUUCGAAUCGGUUUAUUCAAAUUUCAAGCUACUUCGAAUCGAAUUCAAGUAACCCAAUUUGAAUACAGAUUCCAAAGCUUCAAAUUCAAACAACCCGAUUCAAAUAACCCGAAACCCAACUCAUUCAAGUCGACAAACACCCGGUACCUGCAAUAGCACCAGCCUGAAGAUCCCCUUCCAAAUUCCCCGGAUCUAAAAAGGCAAUACUCAUCAAAAACCCUGGACCUGUAAACAACCAUAGUUUCCUCCAUGAAAAGGGUGGUGUGGAGGUGUAAUCGGAUGAGUCAUCAAGGCCGUCGAUUAUGAUCUUUUCGUUGGAUUCGUAGGCGACUUCUUCGUCGGAGAUAAGGGGAGUGUUGUCGGUGGAUAAGGGGAGGAGGUGUUUGUGAUCUGAUUCUGGUUGGUGGUCUUCGUUUGAAGGUUUUGAAUCGUUUGAUUGAGGUGGAGAUGAAGCGUUCAUUGUGGUCGCCGGCGGGAAGAGGUGAUCUCCGGCGACGGAAAGAUCGGAUGUUAGCGUUUGUUGUUUGUAGGGUGCUCCGUCGGCAAUUGGU
rnacentral:lncRNA from 1 species